CGCGUAGGCGGCUUUAUAAGUCUGGAGUGAAAGUCCUCUUUUCAAGGGAGGAAUUGCUUUGGAAACUAUAGAGCUUGAGUGCAGGAGAGGUUAUCGGAAUUCCCGGUGUAGCGGUGAAAUGCGUAGAUAUCGAGAGGAACAUCGGUGGCGAAGGCGGAUAACUGGACUGCAACUGACGCUGAGGCGCGAAAGUGUGGGGAGCAAACA
rnacentral:rRNA from 1 species